GCUGUGCUGCAGGAGCCCGUGCCAUGAGGACCUGCUGUGUGCCUGAGGCAGAGUCUCAGGGCACCCAGGCCAACUCAGUGGCAGAGAAGAAGGUGCCAUCACCAGCAGGACCAGCUCCUGGCACACUUCUCCAGGACAGCAGCACAGAGCAGAGUGUGGCAGCAGCAACAGGGAGCUGCGGAGGACCGAGUGGUGCUGCCUCUGCCUGUGGUGCCACAGGGAUGGGGGUCCCCAACACCCAGAAGGAGGAUGCAGCAGCCUCCACUUCCCCUGUUUCUGAUCCCUGCCUCCAGGCAACCAGCAAGGACACGGGGAGCACGGCAGCUCUUGCCAAACAUGUGGCAUUCGUGGAGCCCACUGCGAGCACCGGGACAGCUGAGCUUCCAAGCCAGGAGCAGCCCCAGGACAGCAAAGGGACAUCCCUGGCUGCUGCUCCCCAGACAAAGAGCAGUGAGGCUCCCAAGCACCCCCAGGGAUGCACAGCAGACCCCCCCAGCACCAGCACCGCGGGCACUGGGGGUCGAAGUGAGGCAGGACCAAGCUCCACUGCUCUGGGCCAGGGCAAAGCUGAGGGGAGCUCAGUCCAGGAUGGGGGUGCUGGGAGCAGCCAGCAGCCCCACACAGCCAAGCAGCUCUGUGAAUCCUACUCCUUUGAAGUGACCCCGCCCCAGGACACUGGGACACAAGACAUGGGGACGCAAGUGGACAACCGUGUGUCCUUGGUGUCGGUGGCCUUAAGCCCCAUGAGCCCCCCGUGUGGGGCUGCUGCCUUCACCUUCCCCAAGAGAGAGGCAGCCUCUGCAGCCCCGCGCCUGGAGCCCUCCAAGAAGGACGCGGAGAUGCAGGUGUCCAUGCCUGUGGAGACCCGCUCGGUGGCCACGGGGCCGAUGACACCGGUGGCCAAGUCCCCGCAGACCUCGUACCCCGAGGUGCAGGUGAAGGGGACGGUGCCGGAGGUGGUGGAGGAGGAGCCUCCGGAGCCCAUCCGGGAGCACGAGGAAGCGCGUGGCUCCUUCCAGAUGGAGGCAGCUGCUCCUGUGCGUCUCCUGCCCGUGGCACAGGUCUGA
rnacentral:lncRNA from 1 species